GGAGAGGUGGCUGAGUGGUUUAUAGCACCGGUCUUGAAAACCGGAGUGCUCGCAAGGGUACCGGGGGUUCGAAUCCCUCCCUCUCCG
rnacentral:tRNA from 1 species